rnacentral:rRNA from 1 species
AUUGAACGCUGGCGGCAGGCCUAACACAUGCAAGUCGAGCGGAUGAAGGGAGCUUGCUCCUGGAUUCAGCGGCGGACGGGUGAGUAAUGCCUAGGAAUCUGCCUGGUAGUGGGGGAUAACGUCCGGAAACGGGCGCUAAUACCGCAUACGUCCUGAGGGAGAAAGUGGGGGAUCUUCGGACCUCACGCUAUCAGAUGAGCCUAGGUCGGAUUAGCUAGUUGGUGGGGUAAAGGCCUACCAAGGCGACGAUCCGUAACUGGUCUGAGAGGAUGAUCAGUCACACUGGAACUGAGACACGGUCCAGACUCCUACGGGAGGCAGCAGUGGGGAAUAUUGGACAAUGGGCGAAAGCCUGAUCCAGCCAUGCCGCGUGUGUGAAGAAGGGCUUCGGAUUGUAAAGCACUUUAAGUUGGGAGGAAGGGCAGUAAGUUAAUACCUUGCUGUUUUGACGUUACCAACAGAAUAAGCACCGGCUAACUUCGG